rnacentral:rRNA from 1 species
GACGAACGCUGGCGGCGUGCUUAACACAUGCAAGUCGAACGAAGUGGCGAACGGGUGAGUAACGCGUAAUCAACCUGCCCUUCAGAGGGGGACAACAGGUGGAAACGACUGCUAAUACCGCAUACUGAAGGAGGGGAGUGCGUCUGAUUAGCUAGUUGGAGGGGUAACGGCCCACCAAGGCGAUGAUCAGUAGCCGGUCUGGGAGGAUGAACGGCCACAUUGGGACUGAGACACGGCCCAGAAUCCUACGGGAGGCAGCAGGGGGGAAUCUUCCGCAAUGGACGAAAGUCUUACGGGGCAACGCCGGGUGAUGGAUGACGGCCUUCGGGUUGUAAAGCUCUGUUAAUCGGGACGCGGUACCGGAAUAGAAAGCCACGGCUAACUACGUGCCAGCAGCCGCGGUAAUAC